GAGCCUGUUCCCGGGCUCUCCGUCUGCAUAGCCGAGACCCCCUGGCAGCAGCCGGGCCACCACCCUGCCUCGGGGCUCAGGACAUGGGGCCAGAUUCUACUCCCAGGAGCAGCUGUGUUAUCCUAUUGAUUCAGAAUCUGGAUCUUAGUGACUUUAAAAUAGAACCCCAGCUCCUGGAGUCAAGUGGAGAUGUGAUGAUUU